CUGGUAGCAUAUAUAAUAUGCGAAGAUCAUUUCAAAUCUAGAGGAAAAUUUACUGAAUUAUAAGGACUGGGUAGAGAAUAACAAAGCCAAGGCUUAAACCUGAUAUGCCUGUAAUGUUAAAGAAUAUUGGACUGGAUCUUAGCAGUGUCAUGCCUUCUGGAUUAAACUGGGAAGAACCUGUGCCAGCUACACAGGAUAAAGGUAUUCAGUGUGGGCCUUACUACAGUAAUAAAACUGUGCAAGUUAUGCCAACCAUGGUCAGCAGGUCAGUUGGAACAAAGCUUGCGAAAUGCCACACACGAACCUAUCCUUACUGCAGAGGAAUCAUCGGAGGGACACAAUCCAUCUGCAAUUGCAGUACUACUGAACUUGAAGUGCAAGAAACUUUGAAAAAUAGUGAUUGGCACAUUGUUAAUACCCAGAAUAAAAAUAAACUAAGAAAAACAAAAUCUUUUAAGGGGCAAUGAAUAUGUUUUUACAAUAAAAUUCCCAUCGACAUUCAAAUUUACAUUUGAACAGUUUUAAGGCAGUAAUUAAACAGAAACUUUGUAAAAAAGGUUAUUAUUGUAAGAUUAGUGAUUAUUAAGAUGAUAUGAAUGCAUGGGAUUAAUUGUCAGGGAACUGGUAUUAGGUAGCCUAAUUACUAAAUUGUAUAACAAUAUUUUAAGGUUUUACUUGCAGCUUCUUUUUCCUGGCUAUACAAGUUGAGAAGCUGUAGUAGUUUUAAGCGGUUGGAUCAUAUGUUCAUUAUGUAAAAAAUGAUGAUACAAAGUGUAGCUAUGUUACCUACUGAAUAAAGAUAUUUUUGAAUUA